rnacentral:rRNA from 1 species
CAAGGAAUUUUCCCCAAUGGGCGCAAGCCUGAGGGAGCAACGCCGCGUGCAGGACGACGGCUUUCGGGUUGUAAACUGCUUUUGCGUGGGACGAUAACGUCGGUACCACGCGAAAAAGCCCCGGCUAACUCCGUGCCAGCAGCCGCGGUAAGACGGAGGGGGCAAGCGUUGUCCGGACUCACUGGGCGUAAAGGGCGCGCAGGCGGGACGGCGCGUCGGCGCUGAAAGCGCCCGGCUUAACCGGGCGCGGCGCGGCGAUACGACCGACCUGGAGGCAGGCAGAGGGUGGCGGAAUUCCGGGUGUAGUGGUGAAAUGCGUAGAGAUCCGGAGGAACGCCUGUGACGCAAGCGGCCGCCUGGGCCUGACCUGACGCUGAGGCGCGAAAGCGUGGGGAG